rnacentral:rRNA from 1 species
UACAGAGGUCCCGAGCGUUGCUCGGAUUCACUGGGCGUAAAGGGUGCGUAGGUGGUGAGGUAAGUCGGAUGUGAAAUCUCCAAGCUCAACUUGGAAAUGGCAUUGGAAACUACCUCGCUGGAGGUUUGGAGGGGGGACUGGAAUUCUCGGUGUAGCAGUGAAAUGCGUAGAUAUCGAGAGGAACACCAGUGGCGAAGGCGAGUCCCUGGACAACACCUGACACUGAGGCACGAAAGCUAGGGGAGCAAACAGG